rnacentral:tRNA from 1 species
AUUUUUAUGGUGUAACCAACACAUAAUCUUUUCAAGAUUAAGCUAAUUUAGAUUUAAAAAUA